CCUACGGGAGGCAGCAGUGGGGAAUUUUGCGCAAUGGGCGAAAGCCUGAUGCAGCAACGCCGCGUGAGUGAUGAAGGCCUUCGGGUCGUAAAGCUCUGUCAGAGGGGAAGAACCGCCAUAUGGCUAAUAUCCAUAUGGUCUGACGGUACCCUCAAAGGAAGCACCGGCUAACUCCGUGCCAGCAGCCGCGGUAAU
rnacentral:rRNA from 1 species